AUGAGAGGGAAUUCUGUAGCCUUACUGCAUGUGCCACUGGUCCCACGUGUGGUCAGAGCCCGCUGGACUGCCCCCCGGAGCUGCACCCCUGCUCCUGAGUGCUCUGUCGCUAGCCUGGCCACCGAAUCCGGCUGCAGCAGCCUCUGCUCCAGGAGCAGUGAUGGGGCCGCAGCAGGACAGGAGCUCCGAGUGCGGGGGGCUCCCCAGCUCUGCAGGCCUCGUGCCUCCCCCGCCCCCGUCCUCCGCAUCCACAUGCCAGAGCAGCCACAGCACGAGGCGGGAGAGUCAGGAUUUGCAGCGAGUCAGGAUCCGCUCCUCACACCCCUGAGAAGGUGCCGCCCACGUGCUCGGAGACUCAUUCACAGCCUUGCUCAGAACACCGUGGGCACAACCGUGUGUCCUCAGGGGCGAAAACAGAAAAGCUGUGACCUGACGUGACACUAGAGGCCCUCAGCUCCCUGUGGGAAGAUUCACCAUCCUUCCAUCUGAUGACUCACCUCCAGCCCAUAGUUCCCUGUCUGCCUCCACUAACCGGGACUUAUGCUGCUACAAGCGAGCUGCCUGCUUCCUGUGUCCCCAGGGCGCAAUUCCAGGUAGGGUUCCUAAGGUUGAACCCCAUGGAAUUGCCAAGGUUUGACCACUUUUGACCUAAAAAUGUAAGUUCCAUAUAUUUCUGCCUAAUAGCAAGAGUUGAGCAAGUACUUGUUGAAUGAAUUAAUAUGUAUCAAGAAGGAAACACAGGCCAACCGACCCUGAUCCCUUAGGAGCUUACUCUGGACAGGGAAAUACUCUCCUCUUUCACUCAUUUCACCUUAAAAUCCCAAGGCUUGAUCCAGCGGGUACCGAAGACAAGAGAGCAGCACCCGGGGCCUUUGCAUGCUCAGUCUACAGCUAGGGGCCUGGAGAAAACAGGCUCCUUUUGCAGAGCUCCCUCAGGGGUGGUGUCUUUUGGACGUACAAAGGCCCUGGUUUAGGGUAUCAGGGGGGAGCUCAGCUCUCUGCAUGAUAUUGAUCGAGAAAUCCAUCAGGAGCAUCUGGGAGAGGACAACAGCGUGGGGGGUUGCUGCUAGAGACAAGUGCUGAGCAGGGGGCCACUAGUAUGGCUGCAAGGCCAUCAAAGGUGUUUCAUGUUUCUCGUGGUCUUGGCUGCUCUGGUUGGCCUCCCUCAAACUUCCAUCCCAGGAUCCUCAGCACCGAGUCCCAUUCUGGAGGCACUGGAGGAGGGGUGGGGGUGGACUAAAGCAUCCACUCCUCGAAACCCAUCCCUCACCUUCAGACCACGUCCCCAUCUGACAGCUGGCAGGUGGCGAACGAUUCGCCCCUGCACACUCCAGCCCCCACUGGCUCCUUUGGAAGGUACUGGAAUGACCCACAGCAGUCUGCAGGCCGCCUCUUUCCUCCCUGGCCAUUAGCACAGCCAACGGAUUACUUCCCCUUGCCCCCAGCAAGACUCAUGACUCCCAUUGCUGCAAACACAUUACCUCCCAUCACCCCGAAUCCAAAGCCCCCAACUACCUUUCUGCCACAUGUGGGCUUUAGGUCAGUGGACAGUGUCCUGCACUUCCCUUUCUCCUCAAGCUGACCACCACCUCCUGCUUUCUGGGCACUGCUGUGUCCUCUAGUCCUCCCACACUCAGUCCCGGCCUCAGUCCUUUCUCUGCUUCUGCCUGCCUGGCCUCCACCUGGAGUGUUCUUCCUGCAGCGGAUACAUUCACAACUCUCUUCCUUCAAAGAGGCCCCAUCGUCACCUUGGAAGCUUCCAGACUCACCCACAGGCGUGUUUGGGGUCUGGGAGACAGGAGAAAGGUGUAGAAGGCGGCAAUGUCUGAGUCGGCCCGAGGCAGCUGGGGUUUGCUCACAGAAGUACUGCAAUACACUGUCAUGCAAUGCACACACACUCACACACGCACGUGCUCACAGGCUUGUGCACUCACUUGCACACACUCACACAUGCGCUCACAGGCUCGUGCACUCACACUUGCACACACUCAUACACACUCACAUGUGUGUGCACAGGCUCGUGCACACGUGCUCAUACACACACAUGCACACACACACGUGCUCACAGGCUCGUGCACACUUGCUCAUACACACACAUGCACACACACACGUGCUCACAGGCUCGUGCACACUUGCUCAUACACUCAUGCUCGUACACACUCAUACACACAUGCACACAUAUACACAGAUAAGUAGAAAAAACCUGCAGGAAAUCCUCCUGCCAAGGGCAGGGUCCCUGCAAAAUGAACAAUCACCCAGUUCACCUGCUUUGGCGGCGGGGAGGUUGGCCACGGGGUUUCCUUGG
rnacentral:lncRNA from 1 species